CGAAGGAUCCAAGCGUUAUCCGGAUUUAUUGGGUUUAAAGGGUGCGUAGGCGGACUUGUAAGUCAGUGGUGAAAGCCCGAUGCUUAACAUCGGAACUGCCAUUGAUACUGCAAGUCUUGAAUAUGUUUGAAGUGGGCGGAAUGUGUCGUGUAGCGGUGAAAUGCUUAGAUAUGACACAGAACACCGAUUGCGAAGGCAGCUCACUAAACCAUUAUUGACGCUGAGGCACGAAAGCGUGGGGAGCAAACAGGAUUAGAUACCCUGGUAGUCCACGCCCUAAACGUUGAAUACUCGAUAUGUGCGAUACACUGUACGUGUCCAAGAGAAAUCGUUAAGUAUUCCACCUGGGGAGUACGCUCGCAAGAGUG
rnacentral:rRNA from 1 species